GGCCGCCUAGCUCAACUGGCAGAGCAAUUGACUCUUAAUCAAUCGGUUCGGGGUUCAAGUCCCCGGGCGGUCACCU
rnacentral:tRNA from 3 species